UGCUCACUGCAUUUUCUCUCUUUUUCUCCCCCCCCUGCCACCCACCCAGUUGCGUCGUAUGCAGGAGAUGAUUGCCCAAAUGCAAGCCCAGAUGAGGAUGAAACCUGCAGACGAGUAAGGAGGUAUCCUAAAACUUUGACGCGGGGACUCGGUGGUCUUAAGACAAAGGGGCCAUGAAUUAAAAUUGAAUUUCAGUGAUGACACUAAUGGAUUUGAGAGGUUCAUGCGUGGAUGCCGGACCAAGAUAUAUAACCCAGUGCAGCUAAAGAAAGAAACCUUUGAAGUUCACAUUGGAAAAACUGAACCCAGCUGUCAUACGUACAACAUUGCUUCUAUUUUUCUUCUCACAUCUUGCUAUGCAUGCAUGUAGCAUCACAAUAGGGGACCCGUUAUGUUUCUCCCUCCUUUGGCAUCUUUCGAUGUGUCUCUUGCAUUGUUUUAAAAACCCCAAUUAACAAUGCACGUUGUAUCUGCUAAGCUUUAGAACCUGCUUCUGUUUUUUUUAAUCUUCUGCCCAGGUGGCUCUUGGUACGUUUCUUUCCUCCCCCCCCCUCCCACUGAGCAGAUUCCUGAAUCUUUACCCUCAACGUGCCCUGUCGGAAUGAUGUUUUGAGUUAAGACUUGGCCAAUUUCUUCUCAAUCGUGUGAGUUGUACCGUGUUUCCCCGGAAAUACGACCAACCCUGUUAAAUCAGUCCUAGCUUGGAUUUUUUUACACGUGCGCCCUACCCCCCCCCCCCCAAAUAAGUCC